GUCAACGCCGUAAACGAUGGAUACUAGCUGUUGGGGGCAACCUCAGUGGCUAAGCGAAAGUGAUAAGUAUCCCACCUGGGGAGUACGUUCGCAAGAAUGAAACUCAAAGGAAUUGACGGGGGCCCGCACAAGCGGUGGAGCAUGUGGUUUAAUUCGAUGAUACGCGAGGAACCUUACCAAGGCUUAAAUGUAGAUUGACCGGUUUGGAAACAGACUUUUCGCAAGACAAUUUACAAGGUGCUGCAUGGUUGUCGU
rnacentral:rRNA from 1 species